rnacentral:rRNA from 1 species
CCUACGGGAGGCUGCAGUGGGGAAUAUUGGACAAUGGGGGGAACCCUGAUCCAGCCAUGCCGCGUGUGUGAAGAAGGCCCUCGGGUUGUAAAGCACUUUCAGUGAGGAAGAACGCCUGGUGGUUAAUACCCAUCAGGAAAGACAUCACUCACAGAAGAAGCACCGGCUAACUCCGUGCCAGCAGCCGCGGUAAUACGGAGGGUGCGAGCGUUAAUCGGAAUUACUGGGCGUAAAGCGCGCGUAGGUGGCUUGAUAAGCCGGUUGUGAAAGCCCCGGGCUCAACCUGGGAACGGCAUCCGGAACUGUCGAGCUAGAGUGCAGGAGAGGAAGGUAGAAUUCCCGGUGUAGCGGUGAAAUGCGUAGAGAUCGGGAGAAAUACCAGUGGCGAAGGCGGCCUUCUGGACUGACACUGACACUGAGGUGCGAAAGCGUGGGUAGCAAACAGGAUUAGAUACCCGAGUAGUC